rnacentral:lncRNA from 1 species
UUCUCUUCAUUAACAGCUCUGCUUAAUAAAAAGAUUUUUUAAAAUCCAAUUUGUGCAACCAGCUGAAGAGUAAACCCAAGUAAUUGAUCACCUUGCCAGCCUCAGUAAAUGCUAUAUUGAUGUGUUUUAGGAAAUCCACGUUCAACAAAGAUUUAUACUAAUUGCUGAAGAUAAGAAGGAAUAAGAUGUGAUCUCUAUACAUGAUAUAUUUUGGGAAGAAAUUGGCUAAGAAGAUAUCAUGUGCUCUUGAAGAAUGAAGUUUUUUAGGUAGAAAAUAGAUUGGAAUUAAAUGUCACGUGGAAAAAAGCCAACAUGGCAUUCUGUUAAGAAGAUAGACAACCUAAGUGAUGUCUAUCCUGCUUCAAAGAAAAAACUCAGGAGGCUGUACAUUCAUUUAGAGCAGAGUAGACGAAACCUCCUAUGCUCUGGCUUGGGAACCAGGAGGAAUCACUGACUGAGAUUUGCCAACCAGACCUCUAUGGUAAGUUUGAAUUUGAAAUGUGUGGGUUGAUUUUCAUUAUUCAUUAUUUCUUUUGAUCUUGGGGAGGGGAAGAAAUUAACAAAUUUUAAUGCAGUGUUAUAUAUUCAAAUAAAUAUCAUAUUGAGGAAAUUAUUGCUGGAAAUUUUUUAUUCAAGUGUUUAAUGAGUAAGCUGACUGACUUGUCAUCCAAGUAUUUUGGACUUCUUGUUGAUACUAGGUUUCGCCUAUUUUUUCUUAUAUGAUCAGUGGAUUUGCUAUGGGGAUAUCUUAUGUCAAGGCAGAUGUCGAGUUUAUGACAUUUAGACAUCUAUUUUUGAUAAUGGAAGGGUUCAAUAAAUACAAGAGUGUGACAUCAACACAAGGAGAAGGAAAGAGACAAGAGAUUGGUCUAGGAAGUUGAAGGUUCUUAUUAAGAAAAAAGAAAGGAGGGAGAUGGUGAAAAGCCAAUUUUACAUUGGUUAAGCACUAGAACUCAAACAUGAUAUUCUAAUGAUGAAGACAGGUUGAGUGGGCUCAUGGGAGUGUGUGUGUGAAACAGAAAGAGAG